rnacentral:rRNA from 1 species
AAAUCGUACCCCAAACCGACACAGGUGGUCAGGUAGAGAAUACCAAGGCGCUUGAGAGAACUCGGGUGAAGGAACUAGGCAAAAUGGUGCCGUAACUUCGGGAGAAGGCACGCUGGUGUGUAGGUGAAGCCCCUGCGGGUGGAGCUGAGACCAGUCGAAGAUACCAGCUGGCUGCAACUGUUUAUUAAAAACACAGCACUGUGCAAACACGAAAGUGGACGUAUACGGUGUGACGCCUGCCCGGUGCCGGAAGGUUAAUUGAUGGGGUUAU